GCCUCUAUAGCUCAGUCGGUAGAGCAGAGGACUGAAAAUCCUCGUGUCA
rnacentral:tRNA from 1 species